UACGAAGGGGGCUAGCGUUGCUCGGAAUCACUGGGCGUAAAGGGUGCGUAGGCGGGUCUUUAAGUCAGUGGUGAAAUCUCCGGGCUCAACCCGGAAACUGCCAUUGAUACUAUUAGUCUUGAAUAUUGUUGAGGUAGGCGGAAUAUAUCAUGUAGCGGUGAAAUGCAUAGAUAUGAUAUAGAACACCGAUUGCGAAGGCAGCUUACUAAACAAUUAUUGACGCUGAGGCACGAAAGCGUGGGGAUCAAACAGG
rnacentral:rRNA from 1 species